rnacentral:rRNA from 1 species
GAUGAACGCUGGCGGCGUGCCUAAUACAUGCAAGUCGAGCGAACGGACGAGAAGCUUGCUUUUCUGAUGUUAGCGGCGGACGGGUGAGUAACACGUGGAUAACCUACCUAUAAGACUGGGAUAACUUCGGGAAACCGGAGCUAAUACCGGAUAAUAUUUUGUACCGCAGGGUUCAAAAGUGAAUGACGGCCUUGCUGUCACUUAUAGAUGGAUCCGCGCUGCAUUAGCUAGUUGGUAAGGUAACGGCUUACCAAGGCAACGAUGCGUAGCCGACCUGAGAGGGUGAUCGGCCACACUGGAACUGAGACACGGUCCAGACUCCUACGGGAGGCAGCAGUAGGGAAUCUUCCGCAAAGGGCGAAAGCCUGACGGAGCAACGCCGCGUGAGUGAUGAAGGUCUUCGGAUCGUAAAGCUCUGUUAUUGGGGAAGAACAUAUGUGUAAGUAACUGUGCACAUCUUGACGGUACCUAAUCAGAAAGCCACGGCUAACUACGUG